CAGCGGCUUUAGCUACCCUAAUGCUCCCAAAUCCCGUUGUGUAAACUGCACCAUCAAAAUAAGCACAACAACAAAACAGUGCAGCUGUUCAAUUUUAACAAGGCCCACAUGGCUAUAAACACCAAGCCAACUGAACUGUAAAAGAACAAUUUUCCAUCCUUUUUUUUUUUUCUCUCUUUUUAAAAAAAAAAAUAAAAAAACAUGCAGCACGAGAGAGAACAAAUUUGGUCUUUAAAAAUCAAGGACCGGAACACAGCGACUUGUAAAAUAUCGUAUCACAAAAAUGUAGCCCAACUCACUGUUCUGACUCAAUUGCUUUUGGCUGUAUUAUAGCCAAUGUAUUCACAUUUCUGUGCGUAUAGGAGAAAAAAAAAAGCAGUAUUUUUCCAUAAAAAUGUCAUAGCUCUUAAAAGGAACUAUCUAUUUCUAAAUGCAUGAAAGGUUGGUAUAAAAGACUAGCUAUACAAAACAAAGGAAGAGCCUCGCACGGACGAAGCUGAUUAGAAGAUAUUAAAAUACUUAAAAUUUUACUGUCAUACCAUUUCAAUAUUGAUUCUCGUGAUCCAAUACCAUAAUCCACCCUUGAUUAUGAACCGAAAUGAACUUUGGAUUGAUUUGCAGGGACGCUUUCUUGUACAGGGACAAGUGGACCAGAAUCACGGCAGCAAAAUUCCAAACCGUCUUCUUUCUAUAAUCUCCAGCUCAUGUAGUACCAACCUGGAGGUGUAUGAAUACAAACGUGAACGGUGAAUUGAAAUAAAACGACUCAAACGACCCCCUUCUGUGUGUGGAAGGGUAUUUAGGCCUUCUCGUACGAUAAGCCUCUAAACUAUACUGUAGCUCUCUCUUUCUUCUUCAAAGCAAAGGAUGAGUAUUAACCAGCCAUCAAAACAGAGAUUCCGCUUGACAAACCUGCCCCUCUAACCCCCUGUAGCCAUGUGCUCAGGACCACUGACUGAGGUCUUGAUUUGGUCCUGUUGCUCUCCCUCGAUUCACAUCAAAACAAUCCACGACAACAGAUCUCUAGGUCAGUUUGCCGACUGCACACGCGGGUCAGUGGAGGAUGGUGGCUAAAGGACACUGCGCUCAACCAUUAUCCACACAGAACAACAGAACGUAAUUCUCUGAUUUUAUUGCAGUCCAUAAUAUGUUCAUUCAUUCCGAGCCUAGUCACAAAGCUUAACGACAGUGGCGUCCGCAAAUCUGUUAGUUUUCUCUCUAGACACUGAUGUUUCUUUGCGUAUACGUGAGUCUACGUAACUCCCGCAUUGAGAUGGCAGUCGUAGUUCAGAGGUCAGUAGUGUGGCAUAUUGUUGCGUUGGACUAGGAUUUUAUCAAAAGCACCAAGAAAACCAAAAAGCUCACUGUGGACCACAGGAAAUUGUGAAGAAACAUCUCUACAGUACAUCCUGAAGAGAAUAAAAACAUAUGAGACCUGCAAAGGAGAGCUUGGAGCAACCCCGAUACCCCCACCCCCAGCCAUGGGCUGUUCCUUUCUACCAUCAGCAUAUUGCCCUGGAUGCUAAUGAAUGCGACAGCAAACCCAAGGUGAUUCGGAGUAACGAGGCGAAGUCGUGAUCAAAGAGCAUACAAUCAAGUGCUAAAACUGCGGAUCCAGAAUUCCACACAUACUCAAGGAAAGUGAUUAUAUACAUAUUAUAGACACUGAUUAUAUCCUUAGUCUGUUUAUUUGGAACGAAUGUGUACUGUUUCAAAGUCAAGCCAGUUUGGUGUUAAGGUAACAAUGAGGGAAUGGGUAAGAGUUUUGGAAAGGUUUUAUUGAUAUUGAAGUAAACAUAUGAUGAUAAGCAGGUGUGAUGCAGGCUGAGCUCUUGGCCAUCAUCUUCAUCCAUGUCUCCUCAUUUGGGUAACCUUAUCCUUAACCGGUCCUUUUUGUCGCUCAUGUGUUUAGGUCUUGAUUCUAUCUUCACUGCUCAUAUUCUGAGCACGGAUUUUCCUUUGAUGACCGUAUCUGCCUGUGCUUUGACCCCAUAACCUCACCCCACCCCACCCACUGUGAAUUCCUGAAACCCGGCUGCUUAAAAGCUGCAUUUACAUUUUACUACAUCUGCUUCUGAAGUGCUACACGGGGACCUUUUUCCUCAAAGCGCUGCCCUCACUUACCACAUCACCAAGCAUCUAUAUGGUUGCCUGUGACCCUGUGGAAGCGGAACAGAUCAUAGAUGGAUGGUUGCAAUAUUGUUAGACUUCUGCAGAGUGGAUAUGGAGGAAUUCAUAUAUAAAAAGCGUUGGCAACAUGAGCGUGUUGACACUGGCCCAAUUAUCCCGGCCUCCUAUUGUCACAGAGACAGGCACGUCAGAGCGCGAUGGCACCCAACCAUGCCAGUCUCGCUGUGAGGAACACGAUAUCAGAGCCAGAAUCGGGAGCUACAAGAUGGCACCGAUGCCCGUGGUGCCUGAUGGUCAAACAGACCAGUGGCAACUGGCGCUGAUGCUGCUGCACAUUUCUUACUGAAAACAGCUAAAUGAUCCUGUUACUGCUGUGUUAUAAUCCUGUUAUAUUCUGGACACCAUUAAUAUAUCUUGCCUACUGUUGGAUAUUGCUGGAGUGUGUGUGUACUUUCAUCUGAUUAUGAUACAGAAGAAAUGUCCACAUAAUUUA